CCUACGGGCGGCAGCAGUGAGGAAUAUUGGUCAAUGGGCGCGAGCCUGAACCAGCCAAGUCGCGUGAGGGAGGACGGCUCUACGGGUUGGAAACCUCUUCUGCCGGGGAGCAACUGGUGCCACGUGUGGCGUAACUGCGAGUACCCGGAGAAAAAGCAUCGGCUAACUUCGUGCCAGCAGCCGCGGUAAUACGGAGGAUGCGAGCGUUCUCCGGAUUGAUUGGGUUGAAAGGGCGCGUGGACGGUCAGAUAAGUUAGAUGUGAAAUCCCAGGGCUCAACUUCGGAAUUGCCUCUGAUACUGUGCGGCUAGAGAGUAGUAGCGGUAGGCGGAAUGUAUGGUGUAGCGGUGAAAUGCUUAGAGAUCAUACAGAACACCGAUUGCGAAGGCAGCUUACCAAGCUACUUCUGACGUUGAGGCACGAAAGCGUGGGGAGCAAACAGGAUUAGAUACCCGGGUAGUC
rnacentral:rRNA from 1 species